AUUGGAGAAAUAGGCGGGGUUUAGCCAUUAUGACUUUCUGGCUGGGGUAACAAGUGACAACCGGAGAUACCCGAACAACUUCCGUUUUCGACGCGUCAGACUAAGCGGAGGGGAUUGUGGGAGGUGUAGUUCAAAGGCAUGUUCCCUUCUCAGUAGACGAACCUCAGACAAACUUUUGGUUGCUGUCGCCAGACGUGUGACUUGAACCGUUUCUACCAGAAAUGGAGAAAGCUCUAAGCUGCCACAAUGAGUGCCCCGAUCUUCAGCCACACCUCCCUCUGCCAGCAGGCGUACACCAGAGGGUUGAUGAGGGAGUUGGACAGCCCCAGCAGCUACAGGUCGUUCUCCAGCACCUUGUACAACUCACAGCCCUCACACAGCACCUGCACCACACACACCACAAAGGGCACCAGCAGAUGGUGAAACAUCCCAUCAGCAGAGCCACGGUCCUCAGGGCCUUGACGUGGCCCCAGU